rnacentral:rRNA from 1 species
CCCUGUCUGGAAGAAGCUCUGGAUUGCUUCAAAGAAGUUGGAUUGCUACCAUUCGUCACUGACCAAGAGCAUUGGAAUGAAGAGUUGCUGCUCCAAUUCUAUGCCACACUUCACAUCCGCGGGUAUAACAGAGAUACAAAGACUUGGGUCCUGGAGUGGAUGACAGGAAACGUUCAUCACGAAGCCAAAGCCUUUGACAUCAUUGAGCUCACUAGUCUGCCCACUCCCGGAGAUCUCUACGAAUCUGGCUGUCAACUUCACAGUGAAGCUGUGGAGAGCAUCUUUCAGAAGCCUGAACCUAACAUGAGUCAGAUGCUCAGUAUGAUGAAGCCAUUACCCCAAGAUGCUGCAUAUCCCAAAGAGUUCUUUGUUGAAGACCUAGAGUAUCUGCCAAGGACUAUUUAUCACAUCAUAAGGUGA